CAGAUUCUCCCGGACCCACGUGGAAGCGGCACUCAAGAUGCUGCGCCGCGAGGCCCGCCUGCGCCGCGAGUACCUGUACCGCAAGGCCCGGGAGGAGGCGCAGCGCUCAGCCCAGGAGAGGAAGGAGCGGCUGCGGCGCGCGCUGGAAGAAAACCGCCUGAUUCCCACUGAAUUACGCCGAGAGGCUCUGGCCUUACAGGGGUCCCUGGAGUUUGAUGAUGCCGGAGGUGAAGGUGUGACCAGCCACGUGGAUGAUGAAUACCGAUGGGCAGGAGUCGAGGAUCCCAAGGUUAUGAUCACUACCUCCCGGGACCCCAGUUCCCGCCUCAAGAUGUUUGCAAAGGAGCUGAAGCUGGUGUUCCCGGGCGCCCAGCGAAUGAACCGAGGUCGACAUGAAGUGGGGGCACUGGUGCGAGCCUGCAAAGCCAACGGCGUCACCGAUCUGCUGGUCGUUCACGAGCAUCGGGGCACACCUGGUGAGGCCGGAGGGAGGGAGUCGGGGUGGGAACCGUCUGAGGGCAGACGGGGUCUCUGACAGCCACCUUUCCCCGCCAGUGGGGCUCAUCGUCAGCCACCUGCCCUUUGGCCCUACUGCCUACUUCACGCUGUGCAACGUGGUCAUGCGGCAUGACAUCCCAGACCUGGGCACCAUGUCGGAGGCCAAGCCCCACCUCAUCACACACGGCUUCUCCUCCCGCCUGGGCAAGCGGGUCUCUGACAUCCUCCGAUACCUAUUUCCCGUGCCCAAAGAUGACAGCCACCGGGUCAUCACCUUCGCAAACCAGGACGACUACAUAUCAUUCCGGCACCAUGUGUACAAGAAGACAGACCACCGCAACGUGGAGCUCACUGAGGUCGGGCCCCGCUUUGAGCUGAA
rnacentral:sRNA from 1 species